UACGGGGGGGGCAAGCGUUGUUCGGAAUUACUGGGCGUAAAGGGUUCGUAGGUGGCCUGCUAAGUCAGACGUGAAAUCCCUCGGCUUAACCGGGGAACUGCGUCUGAGACUGGCGGGCUUGAGUACAGGAGAGGAACGCGGAAUUCCAGGUGUAGCGGUGAAAUGCGUAGAUAUCUGGAGGAACACCGGUGGCGAAGGCGGCGUUCUGGACUGUUACUGACACUGAGGAACGAAAGCCAGGGGAGCAAACGGG
rnacentral:rRNA from 1 species